GGGAUAAACCAGGGCCGUGGUGGUUCUAGGUUUUCCGAGGGAGGCUGUGAUGGGGAUGGAGAGGAUGGCGGGCAUUGCUGGAACAGAGGGACUGGGUCAUCUUCUCAGGAAGAUUUCUGGAAGAUUCUGCAACCUCAUCUCCUCUGUGAUUCUGCUGACUUCCUACCGUGUGGCCUGAGACCGUGGGACUCCGGUCAGCCCUCCUGGGGUCCCAGUGGCCGGACACAAACACUAUGGCUGGCAAGGGACCAAAGGCAUUUGAGAGGCUCUCCUUGCUGUCUUCUCAGGGUUAUUAUGCCAGCAUUUGAGUGACCCAAAUACAUAUUUGCUUCCUCUUCGGUCCUUCUGCAGUGUAUUCUUCUAUGUGUGUGCAUCUCCUCUUACCAUGGGUGACAGCAGGAUCCUGCUUAGGAAUUUUUAGAAGGAAUGUGACUGAUGCAUUUUUCCUUUUCCAGAAUCUUUCUUCCUUUCUGUUCUUUUUCUAUCUCUACUUCAAUUUCUUUUUUAGACACGGCCACUCUCUAUAGCCCAUUGUACGAUUCAUUCUUCCUUCCCAGAUAUAUUUUUCUUUGUUUUUCUUUUUAAGAUUUUAUAUUUGUUUCUUUGUUUGUUCUGGGUUUUUUUUUUUUUUUCAAGACAGAAUUUCUCUGUAUAGCUCUGGCUGUCCCAGAACUUGCUUUGUAGACCAUGUGAUGACCUUGGACUAGGAGAUCCACCUGCCUCUACCCCCUGAGUACAUUGUAGCUGUCUUUA
rnacentral:lncRNA from 1 species